rnacentral:lncRNA from 1 species
CCCAGUCCCCAUGUAGUGAAAUGGACCCCAGUCCCCGUGUGGUGAACAGCAGCAACUCAGUGUGAUUGGCCACUGGCAGCAUUGUGAUAACUGUUAGGAGAUGUUUACGUUCAGAUGUUUCCUGGUAUUUUGUCUUCCAUGUAUGCUCUAUAGCAGGUUAUUCCUCCAUGUAUGCUCUAUAGCAGGUUAUUCCUCCAUGUAUGCUCUAUAACAGGUAGUUCUCAUGUUUUCAUGGCUUAAAUAUUAACCAGAUUUUCCAGAAUAUUUUCUUCUCUGUCCCUGACUUGCAUACAGCUGUACUAUCCCUCCUUCUAUAUCAAUACAGCUGUACUAUCCCUCCUUCUAUAUCAAUACAGCUGUACUAUCCCUCCUUCUAUAUCAAUACAACUGUACUAUCCCUCCUUCUACAUCAAUA